CAAAUUUGAAUGCUAAAUAACUUUGAGCAAUUUCAAAUGGCUUAAUCUUUACUGAUAAAAGUUAAAAAUCUAAGAUUUUUAUUAACUUAAAUUUAUUGUCGUAUCUAAUACUUUUUCUUUUUCUUUUGAUUUUAGGUGAGUGUUGUACCUAUUAGUAUAUUAUUAAUUGUUAUAUUUUAAACGUCUCAAUAAACAAAUAUCUGAAAAUAUCCAAGUUUUUUUAUUCAGGCAUGAGUGCCAUUUUUCAGUUCCUCUUCAUAUUUAGCACGAGGGUAGUUUGCAUCCGGUGUCGAGAAGGAAGAAUUUUUAGCCUUUGAAUCUAAAAAGAACGUUAAAUUUGACAAAGUGGGUGUCUUGAUUCUCAUAUCAUUAUGAUUGAACUACUUAAGUUAGGAUUUAUUUUUUUCAAUUAUUACUUGUGAGUUUAUACAUUAUUGGUGGAUUUGGUGGAUUUAACCUUUCUAUACAAUUUUCUGAGUUUGUGUUCUACCUAUGGAAUUCUAGAAUCAUGGAAUAAUCAUGAAUGCUGCUUCGCUUGUUUUUCUAUAUUUCCCCUCUUGAAGAAACUGAAUAAAAAACGUGCCCCCCAUCUUCUUUCGUAGUCCCCUCAUGUGGGAAUAUCCAUGGUUCUACCCAAUGAAUAAUUAAAUUAGAUCGUGAAUCAUCAAGUAUUUUCAGGUUUCAUUAUGCUUAAUUAUAUAUUUCAUAUUAGAAUAAAAGUAUAUUCAUUGGUAAUUUAUAUUCUGAAAAUCUUUAAAUGAAUAUACUCAUAUAAUAGCUCCUGGAUCAUUACAUGAUUUAAGUGCUUUCAGUGAAGUGACUCAUUAAAAAUUGUACAAAACAAAACUGAUUUACAACCAGUACUUGCAGGGCUACUGCAGCAAACGCCAAGUCCUCUUCAGACCCUCAUCUAUGGUCAUAGUCCGCUCCCUUACCGUCAUGAUGAAGCAUGGGUACAUUGGAGAAUUUGAGGUCGUCGAUGAUCACCGUGGUGGCAAGAUUGUCGUUAAUCUUACUGGGCGUUUAAACAAGUGUGGAGUUAUCUCCCCAAGAUUUGAUGUUGGUAUCAAGGAUAUUGAAAA
rnacentral:lncRNA from 1 species